rnacentral:rRNA from 1 species
GUGAACUGCGGAGGAUCAUUACUGAAUUGUCAACAUGAAGUUGUUGCUGGCCCUCAGAUGGGGGUAUGUGCACGCUCUGUUUACACAUCCACUCACACCUGUGCACCCUCUGUAGUUCUAUGGUCUGGGGGCUCUGUCCUCCUGCUGUGGUUCUGCGUAUUUAUACAUACACACUGUAAUAAAGUCUCAUGGAAUGUAAUGCCGCGUUUAACGCAAUGUAAUACAACUUUCAGCAACGGAUCUCUUGGCUCUCGCAUCGAUGAAGAACGCAGCGAAAUGCGAUAAGUAAUGUGAAUUGCAGAAUUCAGUGAAUCAUCGAAUCUUUGAACGCACCUUGCGCCCUUUGGCUAUUCCGAAGGGCAUGCCUGUUUGAGUAUCAUGAACACCUCAACUCCUCAUGGCUUGCCAUGAUGAGCUUGGACUUGGGGGUCUUGCUGGCCUGUGGUCAGCUCCUCUCAAAUGAAUCAGCUUGCCAGUGAUUGGUGGCACCACAGGUGUGAUAAACAUCUACGCUUGUGGUUCCCCACCAUGUAACCUUUAGCGAUAGAGGUUCGCUGGAGCUCACAAAUGUCUUUCCUCAGUGAAGACAGCUCUUUGAUUGUUUGAUCUCAAAUCAGGUAGGACUACCCGCUGAACUUAA